CUGAGAGCUGGUUAGCUGUUAUAAAACAACGUCAAGCACCUUACAAAGAGACUGAUCUUUCACACAGUGAUUUCCCUAAAAAACACAUUCUGCUUUGGACUGUUAUCUGUGUUUUUUUGGUGGCUCUGUUGGUAAUGGCCCUGAUUCUACAGAAGAAGCACAAAGUCCUGCAAGACACGGACCUACAUCGAGCAACAUAUGCUGUCGUCAGAAAACAAAGGAAGCAGAAUGAUGGAGACAAUUCAUAUGAACCAAAUGAUGUCCUGUAUGCCACUGUUAAAAGACACUGGGGGAAAAAAGAACCAAAAGUGUCCAGAGCAGACAUUAAUCCAUGCUUUGAAGAAGAGACUGUCAUCUAUUCUUCUGUAAAGUGAGCCUCAAACAUAGUGUAUUUGUUGGACUUUUAUAAAACCAUGGCAUGUGGUUAGCUAAUAUGU